GACGAACGCUGGCGGCGUGCUUAACACAUGCAAGUCGAACGGAAAGGCCCUGCUUUUGUGGUGUGCUCGAGUGGCGAACGUGUGUGUAACACGUGAGUAACCUGCCCUUGACUUUGGUAUAACUUCAGGAAUCUGUGUCUAAUACCGGAUAGGAGCUCCUGCUGCAUGGUGGGGGUUGGAUAUUUUCGGCGGUUGGGGAUGGACUCGCGGCUUAUCAGCUUGUUGGUGGGUUAGUGGCUUACCAAGGCUGUGACGGGUAGCCGGCCUGAGAGGGUGACCGGACACAUUGGGACUGAGAUACGGCACAGACUCAUACGGGAGGGAGGAGUGGGGAAUAUUGCACAAGGGGCGGAAGCCUGAUGCAGAAACGCCGCGUGCGGGAAGACGGCCUUCGGGGUGUAAACCGCUUUCGCCUGUGACGAAGCGUGAGGGAGGGUAAUGGGUAAAGAAGCACCGGCUAACUACGU
rnacentral:rRNA from 1 species